rnacentral:rRNA from 1 species
UACGUAGGGUGCGAGCGUUGUCCGGAAUUACUGGGCGUAAAGAGCUCGUAGGCGGUUUGUCGCGUCUGCUGUGAAAAUCCAGGGCUUAACCCUGGACCUGCAGUGGGUACGGGCAGACUAGAGUGCGGUAGGGGAGAUCGGAAUUCCUGGUGUAGCGGUGAAAUGCGCAGAUAUCAGGAGGAACACCGGUGGCGAAGGCGGAUCUCUGGGCCGUAACUGACGCUGAGGAGCGAAAGCAUGGGGAGCGAACAGG